ACUCUCUGGUGUGUUCCAAACGCUCCACUGCCCACAGUACCCCAGUAGCUACCACCCAAGUGGGCGAGGGCUCUCUUUUCCUUUUUCCUCCUUCUCCCUUGAGCUGAGGACCAGGCCAAUAAAACUGUGCAGGCACAGGAUUAAUUUACAGGAACCUAGGAGCAACCUCUGAAUCAUCCUAGAGAGUGCCUUCCAUGUUUCAGGGAAUUGCUAAAAGAGCUUUGACCCUACCUGAGAAAACAGAAACAUGCCUAGGAAAAAAAACCUGAGGUUAACGCCUAUCAUGUCCUUGAGAUACAGAGCCCACUCUGCCUGAGACUCCAGCUG
ensembl:lncRNA